rnacentral:rRNA from 1 species
UCUAGUGGCGCACGGGUGCGUAACGCGUGGGAAUCUGCCCUUGGGUUCGGAAUAACUUCUGGAAACGGAAGCUAAUACCGGAUGAUGACGUAAGUCCGAAGAUUUAUCGCCCAAGGAUGAGCCCGCGUAGGAUUAGCUAGUUGGUGGGGUAAAGGCUCACCAAGGCGACGAUCCUUAGCUGGUCUGAGAGGAUGAUCAGCCACACUGGGACUGAGACACGGCCCAGACUCCUACGGGAGGCAGCAGUAGGGAAUAUUGGACAAUGGGCGAAAGCCUGAUCCAGCAAUGCCGCGUGAGUGAUGAAGGCCUUAGGGUUGUAAAGCUCUUUUACCCGGGAUGAUAAUGACAGUACCGGGAGAAUAAGCUCCGGCUAACUCCGUGCCAGCAGCCGCGGUAAUACGGAGGGAGCUAGCGUUGUUCGGAAUUACUGGGCGUAAAGCGCACGUAGGCGGCUAUUCAAGUCAGAGGUGAAAGCCCGGGGCUCAACCCCGGAACUGCCUUUGAAACUAGAUAGCUUGAAUCCAGGAGAGGUGAGUGGAAUUCCGAGUGUAGAGGUGAAAUUCGUAGAUAUUCGGAAGAACACCAGUGGCGAAGGCGGCUCACUGGACUGGUAUUGACGCUGAGGUGCGAAAGC